UACAGAGGGUGCGAGCGUUAAUCGGAAUUACUGGGCGUAAAGCGCGCGUAGGCGGCUUUGCAAGUCGGGUGUGAAAUCCCCAGGCUUAACCUGGGAACUGCAUUCGAGACUGCAUUGCUAGAGUAUCGGAGAGGGAAGUGGAAUUUCAGGUGUAGCGGUGAAAUGCGUAGAUAUCUGAAGGAACAUCAGUGGCGAAAGCGACUUCCUGGACGAAUACUGACGCUCAUGUGCGAAAGCGUGGGGAGCAAACAGGAUUAGAAACCCCCGUAGUC
rnacentral:rRNA from 1 species